AGCCCAUACAAUACUCCUGUCAAUCCUGUUCCAAAACCAAAUGGCUCUUGGAGAUUCACCCAAGAUCUGCAUAAAAUAAAUGAACUGAUUAUUCCUGUUGCUCCAAUUGUCCCUGAUGUAUCCUCAAUUAUAGCCUCUAUUCCAUGUACACAUAGAGUCUUUUCUGUGAUUGACCUUUGUUCUGCUUUCUUUAGUGUUCCUGUAGGGAAAGACACGCAGCCACUCUUUGCCUUCACACACAAAGGACAACAGUAUACGUGAACCAGGUUGCCACAGGGUUACAUCGAUUCCCCCGCGGUCUUCGCGACCACGGUCAAGAACGCCCUGUCAAGCCUCUGCCUUCCCCCAGACUCAGUGGACUUACAAUAUGCAGAUGACCUCCUGGUGGCUGCGGCCGAUUAUGACACCUGCAAAUCAGCGACCCUGGCUCUACUCACACACCUGGCUGAGAAAGGUUUUAAGGUAUCCAAGUCAAAACUCCAGUUCUGCCAGAACACUGUCCGCUACCUGGGCUAUGAACUCUCUCAGGGCUCAAGGAAGUUAACUGCUGAACGAAUACAAGUUAUCAUGGACACUCAGCGGCCUGCCACUAAACAGGCUUUACAGGCCUUCCUCGGCCUCAUCAACUACUGCCGCCAGUGGAUCCCUGACUGCUGUCUGUAUGACAAAUGUCUGCGUGCUGCGUUGAAGCAUUCUGAUCCUUCAUCCGCACCUCUCUCAUGGACUCCAGAAAUGCAGGCUGCUUUUGAGGCCUUGAAACGGGCCCUGUGUACGGCUCCUCCUCUGGGACUCCCCAACUACAGCCUCCCUUUCCACCUGUAUGUUGCGACUCAGCCAGGAACAGCCUCUGGGGUGCUGGCCCAGGAACAUGGGGGAGGCAUGCGACCUUGUGCGUUUCUUUCUAAAUCCCUCGACUCUGUGGCUCAGGGUUUGCCUGCCUGUCUACGUGCUGUUGCCGCCUGUGCUCCGAUGGUAACUGAUGCUGAGAAGAUCGUUUUAUCUCAUCCUUUGAUCUUACACACCUCACAUCAGCGCAUGCCCUGCAGCGCCUUCUUAAUGCACAGGAUGAUUGUAUGGGUGACUCUGAUCAUGAUUGCCUUACUGAAAUAGUCAAUGCCACUAGCAUCCGCCCUGACCUCUCCUCCGUUCCCCUACAGACAGGCAGCUGAACUCUUCGCUCUCACUCGUGCCUGUGUUCUCGCUGAGGACGCUGAUGUCACUAUUUACACUGACUCUCGUUAUGCCUUCGGAGUAGCUAAUGAUUUUGGCCACAUCUGGCAAUCUCGUGGCUACACUGCAUCUCCCAUGCCUCGUUAGUGCAGGAUUUAAUCACUGCCUGUCAUCUGCCUCGUUCUGUGGCCAUUGUUAAAACUAGGGUGCAUUCCUCUGCUGACACUGAUGAAGUGAGAGGGAAUAGUUUCGCUGACCAAAUGGCUAAACAGGCUGCAGCUUCACACCCACUUCCCCCAAACUUAUCUCCAGCCAUGGUCUCUGUUAACACCAUGAUCAGUGCUGUCCUACCUGACAUGGAUCUCGCUUCGGCUUCGCCUGCUGACCACGAAUUUUGGACUAAUCAGGGUGCGACUGAUUCCUAUGUUAUUCUAGAUAAAAAGGGCCGUGUCUGCCUACCAUGACAUUGUACUCUUUUUCUCGUCCGCGAGUUUCAUGGCCCCACUCAUCCCGGACGAAGAGGGUUGUUACAGGACUUAUCUGAGGUUUUUUGUAUUUUCCGCUUACACACAGACAUGAAUAGAAUAUUAGACGGAUGUUUAAUAUGCUCACAGAACAACAUUUCAAAAUCAGGUGCCACACAUCAACACCUUCCCACGCCUGACACUCCUUUUCAAGAAUGGCAGAUCGAUUUCACAUGCCUAGACAGGGUCCUUUCAGAUACCUUUUGGUAAUGGUUGAUAAGUUCUCCAGAUGGUUAGAAGCCUUCCCAUGUAGUAAGGAAAAUGCUAGAGUUGUGGUACAGAAGCUAACUACUGAAAUAAUUCCUAGAUAUGGCAUCCCUGCAGGAAUUGAUUCUGACAAGGGAACUCCAUUUAAAUCUAAAGUCACUCAGCUUCUGUGUAAAGAGUUAAAGAUCAAUUGGCAUUUCCACAUUCCUUACCAUCCACAGUCAUCAGGUAUGGUGGAGCGAGCCAAUCUCACAAUAAAAGACAAAAUUCGUAAAGCAAUGCACACGUCCGGUUCCAAAAAUUGGGUUCAUGCGUUACCCCUUGUGCUAGUAGAUAUGAGAAUGACCGCACAAGUGGCUUUGGAUCACCUGUCUCCCUAUGAGCUCAUGAUGGGGAGAUCAUUUCCCCAACCGUGGUGAAGAGGCAAACAGGCAUUGGGAACGGGGGACCUUGAUGUACACCUCAGCGAGUACUCUGCAGGGUUAAUUCAGAAGCUCAACGAGUAUUGGGUGCGGGUAAAUUCUAAACAACGCCAAAUUCAAAUUGGCAAUACUCACCCUUUUAAGGUGGGAGAUCGUGUCUUGGUCAGAAAUUUG